UACAGAGGGGGCAAGCGUUGUUCGGAAUUACUGGGCGUAAAGGGCGCGUAGGCGGCCUUCUAAGUCGAACGUGAAAUCCCCGGGCUCAACCCGGGAACUGCGUCCGAGACUGAAAGGCUCGAAUCCGGGAGAGGGAUGUGGAAUUCCGAGGUGUAGCGGUGAAAUGCGUAGAUAUCUGGAGGAACAUCGGUGGCGAAGGCGGCAUCCUGGACCGGUAUUGACGCUGAGGCGCGAAAGCCAGGGGAGCAAAGCGGGAU
rnacentral:rRNA from 1 species